rnacentral:rRNA from 1 species
UAACGGCGAGUGAAGAGGGAAGAGCUCAGUUUUGUAAUCUGGCAGUGAUUCACUGUCCGAGUUGUAAAUUGAAGAGAGUGUCAUCCACGCUGGACCACGUCCAAAUUGUAAUGAUCCACAGUCCUUUGAUGGAGUAUCAGAGAGGGUAAUACUCCCGUCUUUAACGUGGACUUGCCAGUGUUUCUGUGAUGCACUCUCUCAGAGUGGAGUAGUUUGGACAAUCCUGCUCUAAUGGGAGGUACACUCCCUUCUAACAGCUAAAUAUUCGUCGAGAGACC